ACCCUCUUCAUCUAGGGCAGAUGAGGGGUCUCGAUGGUCUAGAUUCAAAUAUACAAUAAAUGGUGGACCACUAUAAAAAUCAAGGGUAAGAUCCCCACAAACUAAUCACUCAGAAGCUUACACAUCACAGAGACAUCCUUCACGAAUUCACUCAAUGAUGCAACAUGCAGGUUUGCUUUAGCAUUUUCUUUUCCUGAAUUCAGCAGAUUUGGUAAUUAUGUGAUUAUGCAUAUUGCUAGAAGUGAUCGUGCAUAUUUGGACACAUUAGAAUGUAGGCAGAUCCAUGAAUUCCCUGCAUUUCAAUGAGAAUCCAGUGAUAAUGGUACAUGUAGCUGUUUUUGCAUCCUUCUUGUUGUUAAUCCUUGUUCACUAACCAAGCAAGAGCUAUGUUUGAUUGAAUUUGAUGUACAUUGUAGCUGCCAAGUGGCUGCUCUGUGUGUGUGUGUGUGACCAGUUUCAAGCGCAUUGCAGGCAGGUAGGACAGAGACAUGCCUAUGAUAACUUGAUUAAUGUAGAUGGCAUGGGCUGGGGCUGUAAUCAAAGAAAGAACAUUAUUGGUGUUCUAAGCUGCUAAGAUUUAGCAAAUAGAAUUAGAUUUCAAAAUCUGUCCAACUGUGGCACUUCAUGCGAGAUCUGUCUGGCAAUCCAAGGCCUUUAUAUGUGUGGCCUCCUGAAAAUGAGGCUGGACACCCCACCAGAUGUAGGCCCCAUCAACAAUGUUAGGUUACCCAAAAUUAGCCAUGUUUUUUUUUUUUUUUUUUUUUUGGUUCUUUCGACUACACUACUGCACUUAGGAUGGCCUUUCCCAAUUUAGCCUGUUAGUCCUUUCAGAUUAUUAAUAUAGUAUUUUUGCUAAGGCUGACAACACCAACCCCAUGACCAACUUGGUGGUAGCAGCCUUCCAACAAUAGGUUGGGUUAAAAUUGGCACAACAACUUAAACCAUUCACUUCUGUUUUGCUGCAACUAUGCACUCACUCAUUCUUACAUUUCUCUGUAGGAGGAUCUCUUUCUAUGCCAUUGGGUUACUUCACUUCUGUUAUGUUGAAUUAUCCAUGCAAGUGUGGUGGAUGCUGAUGUACAAGUGAAAGAUUGUAGCUAAUGAAUGAGCUUAGAGGCUGAGUCCAAACCACUUUGGACAGGGUAUAGGAUGAGCUUAGAAGCCCAUGGAUUGAACCCAGGCUUGAGAUUCAUACCCAGUAACUAAUUGCACACCCAAUAGCUAAUUGUUAUGUAAGAUGGACAUCGGAUAAACAAUAGUUGUUAGCCAAAAUCAGGCCAUUGAUUCCUCAAUAACUGCUUCCAUGUAAUGUAAUUGCAUCCAUUGCAUACACUGGAUGUUUUGUUUCUUCAUCCAGUGGUAUUAUGUCAUCCAAUGUAACACUAUUCCACUAGGAACAAAUUGAAACAUGUGAGGCCUUUCCUGCAUUACAAAUGGUAAACAAUGUUGAAACUAGACCAAGGAAAACUACAAGGAACUAACAAGAUGAAAACUACAAGCAAAACAGCAAUGAAACUUGGCAUUUUUAAUCCUCGAACUGCCAUUUCUUUUAACUUCCACAUUUGUGUUGUCCACAUGCUUGGUUGGUAAUGCGUGGUUUUUAUAACCAUGCAGGGACUGCCUUUCUCUUUAAUGACACUUAAAUAUUCUGAUUCAGCUGGAUCCUUUCUUAUUGUUUUUGGUCUGUCUGGUGACUCCUAUCAGCUUACCUAUGGGCAGUGGCAGUAAUGUCAUUUGUAUUUCUUAGAUAUGAUUAAUAUGUACAUAGAGAUUAGAAUUUCAGUGGGGUUACUGUGAUACAUAUUUAAAAGCUUUUUCUUACAAGUAGAAAUGACCUCCCAAGAGAUACGAGAAGCAUUCUGACCAUGAUGUCACUUGUUCUUCCAGCAGUUACUUUUGUUACUCUGUUUUGGCCCUGCUGAUUGGAAGAUGCAGAUUCUAACUUUUGUACCAUGGUUGCUUGGAGGUAAUGUUGGGUGCAGGUAUGUACAUUAAGCCAAUCAUCCAAUCAUGUGGGAUUCAAUGCUGGAAAUAUAAUUGCUGCCGGCCUUGUAUCCAUCAGCCCUAAUGGUGUAGCUCCAUCUGUUUCUAAAUUUCUGAGAGGUCUGGCCUCCUUCGUUUCUGUUCUCUGAAGGAUGCAUGUGGAGGAUCCAUGCUCUUUUGGCAUAUGGAGGCCACAUGGAAACAUGCAAGAGAUUCGAAAAUGAAUAGGUGAUUAGACCUUUGAAAUUGGUUAAUUUGGCCUUUCAUGAUUGACUUGUAAUUUGAGCUCUUUUAUCUACUUGUGGCAGACUGACAUCCAAUCUGUUGAUUAGGUGGAUGCUUUAACAACAAAACGUGGAAAAGAAGGGGGAUGGGUCAUCGAGCGGCUUCUGAACCAGGUUAAAGUCUCGGUGGAACUGAAGUUUUUGAGGCAGCUAGUGAUCGAGCUGUUUUGUUCGAUAUCAAGGCUCAAGUCUAGAAAGAGACCACUUGAUUGACACCCUACAGAAAACCAUACCGACAAAUGAGUAGCUGAAAUAAUGCGUGUGGGUUCAGCUCACAGGGCAUUGUUCUACUUCUAUAAGUUCUCAGAAGAAGAAAACGGUUGUUAUUGCUCCACUGCGUUUUGUGCAAAGAGUGAAAAAACAAAAUGAGCUUUCCUGCAGAUACAUGCACCAGGAUGCUCAUGAAUUUUUGAAUUUUUUGCUUAAUGAGCUUGUUGACAUCCUGGAGAAAGAGCACAAUUCUACAAAAGACUCUCCAGAAACUUCAUCACCAUCUGAAAAGACUGCAAAUGGGCCACAGGCUGCUCAAACCAAUGGUGGUAAAAAAGAGCCACUGGUCACCUGGGUACACAAAUUUUCAGAUGAUACUAACCAAUGAAACGUGGUGUGAAACUGUGACAGCAAGGGAUGAAACUUUUCUGGACUUGAGCCUUGAUAUCGAACAAAACAGCUCGAUCACUAGCUGCCUCAAAAACUUCAGUUCCACCGAGACUUUCAAUCAUUUUGAGCAAGCAUUGAAGAUCUCCCCAUCCGUCUCCAACAAGUUAUCUGAAUCUUUGGAAUUGUUUGGGAACACUGAAAACAUUGGAGGAGAAAAUGAUUUCUUUGGAUGUCUAUUGUCCCCUAUUUGAGGAAAAAGUAGCUAUGGAAAGUUGUUUUCCACUUCCAAAUUUUGUUCCUCAAAAAACAUGGAUAUUAAUUUCUUUAGAGAGCCUGUUCA